GAUGAUUUUGGAUCCGACUGAGUGGCGAACUGGUGAGUAACACGUGGGUAACCUGCCCAGAAGAAGGGGAUAACACCUGGAAACAGAUGCUAAUACCGUAUAACAACAAGAACCACAUGGUUCUUGUUUGAAAGCUGGCCUUUGUGCUAGUGCUUCUGGAUGGACCCGCGGCGUAUUAGCUAGUUGGUGAGAUAAUAGCUCACCAAGGCAAUGAUACGUAGCAGACCUGAGAGGGUAAUCUGCCACAAUGGGACUGAGACACGGCCCAUACUCCUACGGGAGGCAGCAGUAGGGAAUCUUCCACAAUGGACGAAAGUCUGAUGGAGCAACGCCGCGUGAGUGAAGAAGGGUUUCGGCUCGUAAAACUCUGUUGUUAGAGAAGAACAGCCGUGAGAGCAACUGCUCACGGUAUGACGGUAUCUAACCAGAAAGUCACGGCUAACUACGUGCCAGCAGCCGCGGUAAUACGUAGGUGGCAAACGUUGUCCGGAUUUAUUGGGCGUAAAGGGAGCGCAGGCGGUUUAUUAAGUCUGAUGUGAAAGCCUUCGGCUUAACCGGAGAAGUGCAUCGGAAACUGAUAAACUUGAGUGCAGAAAAGGAUAGUGGAACUUCAUGUGUAGCGGUGAAAUGCGUAGAUAUAUGAAGGAACACCAGUGGCGAAGGCGGCUAUCUGGUCUGUAACUGACGCUGAGGCUCGAAAGCAUGGGUAGCAAACAGGAUUAGAUACCCUGGUAGUCCAUGCCGUAAACGAUGAAUGCUAGGUGUUGGAAGGUUUCCGCCUUUCAGUGCCGCAGCUAACGCAUUAAGCAUUCCGCCUGGGGAGUACGACCGCAAGGUUGAAACUCAAGGAAUUGACGGG
rnacentral:rRNA from 2 species